rnacentral:rRNA from 1 species
UACGGAGGGUGCAAGCGUUAAUCGGAAUUACUGGGCGUAAAGCGUGCGUAGGCGGUUAUUUAAGUCAGGUGUGAAAGCCCAGGGCUCAACCUUGGAAUUGCAUUUGAGACUGAAUAGCUAGGGUGCGGAAGAGGGAAGCGGAAUUUCCGGUGUAGCGGUGAAAUGCGUAGAUAUCGGAAGGAACACCAGUGGCGAAAGCGGCUUCCUGGUCCAGCACCGACGUUCAGGCACGAAAGCGUGGGGAGCAAACAGG